UACGUAGGUGGCGAGUGUUAUCCGGAUUUACUGGGUGUAAAGGGCGUGUAGGCGGGUUUGCAAGUCGGGUGUGAAAGAUCCAGGCUUAACUUGGAGAGGUCAUCCGAAACUGCAGAUCUUGAGUGCUGGAGAGGAUAGUGGAAUUCCUGGUGUAGCGGUAAAAUGCGUAGAUAUCUGGAGGAACACCAGUGGCGAAGGCGGCCUCCUGGACCAUUCCUGACACUCAGACGCGAAAGCUAGGGUAGCAAACGGGAUUAGAUACCCGGGUAGU
rnacentral:rRNA from 1 species